rnacentral:lncRNA from 1 species
CAAGAGUAGUGUGAUCGAUGCUCCGCAUGCAGUAGAGGAAUAUCACUAAUAGCCGCGUGUUGUCAGGGAGCUGGUGGACUCGCUAACAGGAGAGUGUAUAUAGGAGAGUGUCAGGAGACUUACUCACAGACCGCCUUUCCUCUUGCCUGCAUCUUUGUUUUCUUCCCUUUUCUUGUGUAGACAUCGACAUCCGGUCUGGGCUUCGGGAUUUUGGACGAAGGUGAGAACAGUCAUACAGAGACCAGGAAGCCCCAAAGUGUGUCAAGAAAAAUGUUCUUACAACUAAUGGUGCCCCUACUGGCAUGCAUUUCUGGCUGUGGGCUUGUCCUCGGCGCCAUCACCCAGGGUACACUUUAUCAGGUAUGGGUGACCAACCCCACUGCCGCAGCUGCCUCUCCUGUACCUGUCAGCGUCUGUAGCAUCACCUACUGCGCCAGUUCCUGCAUGCAGCUGGGUUCCACCUGCUCGACUUUCGCCUACAAGGCCUCCACUUCGACGACUGCCCCCUGCGACCGACCUGGACUCUGUCAGCUGCGCAGCACCAACGUCACCAGUGCUCCAGAUACUUCCUACAUCAUCUACAAGAAAAUGUGAUGGCAGCAUCGUCUUCUGUGCUUCGUGCAGUUAAGCUUAUUCACAAGGGGUUAUUGCCGACAACUUUUGGUUCCAGCACUCCAAGCGGACUGACUGAGCGCAAGGUCGAAAAUUUCACCAUACACAAGAGAAUUCAAGUCCACUUUUCGUGCAAACAUGUUUCAAGUGAAUAAAUUUGGUUCAAGAUACUAACUCGUUCCCGAAAUCUGAUCCAAAAACCUCCUUUCGUGGGAUACAAGCCUUUGAAAAUCGACAUACACAGAAAAAUAGGUGGAUCGUGCCAUUUUUUUUUUUUUUUUGGACGGCGGGUACGUUUCCUUAAAAAAAAAGUUGGCGACGAUGACCCCCCUACACUACACUCGACACCGUCCUCCUAGUAAGAAACUUUUUGCACGUACAUGAACGUUUCAUGUGACUAACUGUUCGCAUUUCACUUUGACACAGAAGCUAACUUGCACUGAACAUUUACGCGCUGUUAAAUUACCUGCCCCCGCCCUUUCAGCCUGAUAUACAUGAUCUGGGCCAAUUCCUUUUUGAGCAAUUCAACCUUCACAGUUUUUGUUUUAUAAUCUGCGAAAAAUGCUCAACUUUGGCGCUAAAAGCCAUUUAUUGAGUGUAGUCGUCGUUUCUUGCUUUUUGUGGCAUGGAGACUGUGGAAUGCAUGUCUAUCGAUGGUCAGAAGCUAUCAGCCCAGAAAUAACGAAUAUUAACAUCAAAGAUAUACUGAAAGCCACUCUUCUGCAGCAGUGGUGGUAUUCGGUAAAACUGGCUCUGUUCUGCCUGCCCAAGAAACGCCUUUUCAACAGUUGCCUAGCUGCUGAGUGGGAAAACAGGUUCUGUGCCCAGAUCACUAACAUCAUUUCCAUCAUUAAAUCCACAGAACAUGCGAUUAUACAGUAGGUUUUUAUAGUUAAGUAGAAACCUACAAGUCUAUAAAUCCUACAAACACUUUUUACUAAUUUCAGCAUGCCUGAAAAAAGAUAUACACAAUGCUAGUAUUUCUCUCUUGCAAGAUGCUUGCAUUUCUAUAUUUUUAUCAGAACACUUCGAGAAGAAAUUGUAGCAUUACUAGUUCUCUUUAUAAAUGAAAGCAUGGAAAUGUGGUUAUUUUGGAAGAGAAUUUAAUCUCCUCCUAACCCUAAUGUAACCUUAACUGACCUGUGAGAUAUGAUCUGGCUCAUUUCCUUUGAGAAAUUUUUCUUAAUAAAUUGUUAUAUUGCAUUGAUUUUUUUUUUCAUUCAUGCAUCACUGCAUUUUUUUUUGUUUGAUUAUUUCUUGAAUAUGAGUCCACUUUCCCUCGUGUAUUUUCAGUAUUUUACCUCCAAGAAAAACGUCAAUGUUUUGGAAAUACCUACUCUUUUUUGCAAGC